AGCGAACGCUGGCGGCAGGCUUAACACAUGCAAGUCGAACGCCCGUAGCAAUACGGGAGUGGCAGACGGGUGAGUAACGCGUGGGAAUCUCCCCAAAGGUACGGAACAACUCAGGGAAACUUGAGCUAAUACCGUAUGUGCCCGAGAGGGCAAAGAUUUAUCGCCUUUGGAUGAGCCCGCGUUGGAUUAGCUAGUUGGUGGGGUAACGGCCUACCACGGCGACGAUCCAUAGCUGAUCUGAGAGGAUGAUCAGCCACACUGGGACUGAGACACGGCCCAGACUCCUACGGGAGGCAGCAGUGGGGAAUCUUGGACAAUGGGCGAAAGCCUGAUCCAGCCAUGCCGCGUGAGUGAAGAAGGCCUUAGGGUUGUAAAGCUCUUUUACCCGGGAAGAUAAUGACGGUACCGGGAGAAUAAGCCCCGGCAAACUUCGUGCCAGCCGCCGCCGUAACAC
rnacentral:rRNA from 1 species